rnacentral:rRNA from 1 species
CCUGAGUACGACGGAGCACGUGAAAUUCCGUCGGAAUCUGGGAGGACCAUCUCCUAAGGCUAAAUACUCUCUAGUGACCGAUAGUGAACCAGUACCGUGAGGGAAAGGUGAAAAGUACCCCGGAAGGGGAGUGAAAGAGAACUUGAAACCGUGUGCUUACAAGUAGUCAGAGCCCGUUAAUGGGUGAUGGCGUGCCUUUUGUAGAAUGAACCGGCGAGUUACGAUCUGAUGCAAGGUUAAGCAGAAAAUGUGGAGCCGUAGCGAAAGCGAGUCUGAAUAGGGCGAAUGAGUAUUUGGUCGUAGACCCGAAACCAGGUGAUCUACCCUUGGUCAGGUUGAAGUUCAGGUAACACUGAAUGGAGGACCGAACCGACUUACGUUGAAAAGUGAGCGGAUGAACUGAGGGUAGCGGAGAAAUUCCAAUCGAACUUGGAGAUAGCUGGUUCUCUCCGAAAUAGCUUUAGGGCUAGCCUCAAGUGAUGAUUAUUGGAGGUAGAGCACUGUUUGGACGAGGGGCCCCUCUCGGGUUACCGAAUUCAGACAAACUCCGAAUGCCAAAUA